rnacentral:rRNA from 1 species
UACGUAGGGGGCGAGCGUUGUCCGGAAUCAUUGGGCGUAAAGCGCGUGUAGGCGGUUUGGUAAGUCUGCUGUGAAAGUCCAGGGCUCAACCCUGGGAUGCCGGUGGAUACUGCCGAACUAGAGUGCGGAAGAGGCGAGUGGAAUUCCCGGUGUAGCGGUGAAAUGCGCAGAUAUCGGGAGGAACACCAAUUGCGAAGGCAGCUCGCUGGGACGUUACCGACGCUGAGACGCGAAAGCGUGGGGAGCAAACAGG